rnacentral:rRNA from 1 species
CACGUAGGGCGCAAGCGUUGUCCGGAAUUAUUGGGCGUAAAGAGCUCGUAGGCGGUCUGUUGCGUCCGCUGUGAAAGCCCGGGGCUUAACCCCGGGUCUGCAUUCGAUACGGGCAGGCUAGAGUGUGGUAGGGGAGAUCGGAAUUCCUGGUGUAGCGGUGAAAUGCGCAGAUAUCAGGAGGAACACCGGUGGCGAAGGCGGAUCUCUGGGCCAUUACUGACGCUGAGGAGCGAAAGCGUGGGGAGCGAACAGG